CUGAGACGGGGGUGGGGAAGAGAAACCGAGCGCUCAACAUUUUAACUGCGCCUUUAGAGAGAGAGAGAAGGGGGACCGCGUAACCCAGUUUUGAGCGGGAGGUGCCAAAGCAGCCGCGGCUCGAGCGGAGGAGUCAGUCGGCAGUGUCAACACCGACACUGGCUUCGGGAGGGAAACGAGACGCCGGGACACACGGUGCCUUUUUUUGGGCUUACCGCGUCAUGCACAUCUCCCUCAGUGGAUGCUUGUACCGGCAGAAGCUGUCGUCACACGGACAAGAAGCCGGCCCAGGCCUCGUACCCGGGUGUAGGAGGUUACUUGACCUUCAACCUUGGGGUCAGGUGACUCUUUGAGGCCAUUGUGAGGAGAGCAAAUGUCGUAGGAAUGGGUUAAAUAGGCCGAGCAGCGAAGGUGACAUGUCCAGGCAUGCCGCCAUGAAAGAGAGGGAGAAGAAUGGGGCGAGCUUGGCUUGAUGGAUGGACCUGGAGAAAUGAAUCGGCUGAAAAAGAAAAUACACCUACCUGGGGCUGUGGACGCUCAGUCGUGCCCCAUCGAUCUGACAAUUACACCCCCCUGAUGUUAAGUUGUAUUAGUCUAAUUUGCGGUGUAUCAAAUGUCUUUAUUGUUAUUGGUCAAUUUUCGUAUUAAACAAAAGAUAAAA